GGGGGCUGCCGGCGCGGGCUUUGGCCUAGCGGCCUGGGCUGGAAGGCCCGGAAGAGCAGGCCGGCCCAGGGCUGCGGGCGAAGGGCAGGCUGCAUGGCCGCGCGAGUCUCGGGAUCUCGCUGCCCUCCGCACGUGUGACGAUUGAGCUGCCACGGGGCGGAAGAGCCUGCGCC
rnacentral:lncRNA from 1 species